GGCAUCUCGCUGUCUGCGCUGGGCACGGAGCGGCGCGCGCGCGCCCGUCUUUCCCUCGGCGGCCCCCGCGGCUCGGACCCGGGCCGGCAGACAGGCCAUCCAUCAUCCGCCCUCCUCCCGCGGAGCGCCGCAGCCGCCGCGGCCAAUCCGGCGGCAGGUGGGGCCGCACCUGCGCGACAGCCCGCCGCUUCCCUCCGCUCCCUUCGCCGCGCCUCGCGUGCUAGCGGUGCCCUUGUGAGCCACUGCGUUCUCCAAGGCCAGAACGGGACAGUUGACGAUGGUCGUACUUCUCCAUGUUCUGAGACCAGUUUAAACAAAAACAAAAACCAGACAACAACCUUGCAAGGGAAAGAAUUCAGAGUAAAUAAACAGUCUUUUUCUGGGAAGUAAAAUAUUUCCCUAAGAUGGAGAAAUUGAGAUGAGAGCUCAUCCACAAGAUUACCCAUCAAUGAGCACCAAUAGCAACCAAAUCCACUAGAAGACUGGGAGCUUUUAAGUCAAGAAACUUACAUCAGUAUCAUCAUUCCAAGAAGCGGUAUCCAAGCUGUUUUAUCGAAAGUGCGCAUGGGAGGGAUCUCAUCAGAGAGAGAGACAUCUUCGCCACUGCCAUGAAGUUUCAAGUACAGAACUCUUCCUCGUAAUCAAACUAUUUCUAUGAACAAUUCACUCAUCAUUGUGGGAAAGUCUAUUUUUCAUCUUAACACACAAACAGACAAUAACAAAAUUUGUGAUUUGGAUAAUCUGGAUCUGAUGUUCAUGCUCAAAAUGGAGGCAAUUCGUAAUACUGGUCUGAAGCAUUUAGUCAUUCACUGAGCAGAUACGUUAGGAGCAACAGGCAUGGGCUGUGUUUUUCUAGGCACUGUGAACACAGCAGUCAACGAAGUCAAAAACCUGUGCUCUUAAGGGACAUGAAUUGCCAAAUGGAAACACUAAGUUUUUCUAUUUAUGACCUAAAGCUAGUCAAAUAUCUCCAGAAGUAAGGUAGCUGAGUGAAGUGGUUCAUAAUCUUUCCAUGGGAGCCAAAUCCUCGGUGCUGUGACUCUUUUAGAUAAAUGAUAGUAAAAAUGAAUCAAAAGUUAAUUAGCUUGCACCUCAAUAAUCCAGUCUCCAUCACUGAUGGUCAUCGUGGAAUCUGCGUACAGAGGCAGCUGUAUACAGAUGACAGAGACAGCUCUAACACGUGACACAUUUAAGCACACAGAGGCGGAAGGACAUAAAGUUCCUGGUUGAUUUCCCUUUGGUGUUUGUGGGGAAAUAUCAAGGUCAUAAAAAGUCAGUUUCUAAUAAUCCCUCCAGUCCUCCAUUCCAUUCCCUAAUUUGUAUGCAAUGGCAUUUAACAUUUUGACUUUGCUUAAAAUAAAAUGUGUGUUUGUUUUAAAAUAAA
rnacentral:lncRNA from 10 species